rnacentral:rRNA from 1 species
AGAGUUUGAUCCUGGCUCAGAACGAACGCUGGCGGCGCGUCUUAAGCAUGCAAGUCGAGCGGUAAGUUGUAGCAAUACAACCUAGAGCGGCGGGACUGGUGAGUAACGCGUGGGUGAUCUGCCUUGAGGAUGGGGAUAGCCGUUAGAAAUAGCGGGUAAUACCGAAUAUGUUCAUUUUACUUUGGUUUAGUGAGCAAAGGAGCUACGGCUCCGCCUUGAGAUGAGCCCGCGUCCUAUUAGGUUGUUGGCGGGGUAAGAGCCCACCAAGCCUGUGAUAGGUAGCCGGCCUGAGAGGGUGAACGGCCACAUUGGGACUGAGAUACGGCCCAAACUCCUACGGGAGGCAGCAGCUAAGAAUAUUCCGCAAUGGACGAAAGUCUGACGGAGCGACGCCGCGUGGAUGACGAAGGCCGGAAGGUUGUAAAAUCCUUUUGCCGCUGAAGAAUAAGCAGGGUAGGGAAUGACCCUGUGAUGACGUUAGGCGGUGAAUAAGCCCCGGCUAAUUACGUGCCAGCAGCCGCGGUAACACGUAAGGGGCGAGCGUUGUUCGGAAUUAUUGGGCGUAAAGGGCGCGUAGGCGGUCUUUAAGUCUGGAGUGAAAGCCCGCGGCUUAACCGCGGGACUGCUUUGGAAACUGGAAGGCUGGAGUCAUAGAGGGGAGGCCGGAAUUCCUGGUGUAGGGGUGAAAUCUAUAGAUAUCAGGAAGAACACCGAUGGCGAAGGCAGGUCUCUAGCUAAUGACUGACGCUGAGGCGCGAAAGUGCGGGGAGCAAACAGGAUUAGAUACCCUGGUAGUCCGCACUAUAAACGAUGUGCACUAGGUGUCGGGGCGAGCGCUUCGGUGCCGAAGUUAACGUGAUUAGUGCACCGCCU